UUGGAGGGCAAGUCUGGUGCCAGCAGCCGCGGUAAUUCCAGCUCCAAUAGCGUAUAUUAAAGUUGUUGCAGUUAAAAAGCCCGUAGUUGAAUUUCGGGAUCAAUACGUCGGUCGUGCUUUUUUGGUACGCACUGGCGUCAUUGGUUUCUCCUUUCUGACGAACCAUGAUGUCAUUAAUUUGGUGUUAUGGGGAGUUAGGACUGUUACUUUGAAAAAAUUAGAGUGUUUAAAGCAGGCAUUAGCUUGAAUACAUUAGCAUGGAAUAAUGAAAUAGGACGUUCGAUCCUAUUUUGUUGGUUUCUAGGAUCAACGUAAUGAUUAAUAGGGAUAGUUGGGGGCAUUAGUAUUCAAUUGUCAGAGGUGAAAUUCUUGGAUUUAUUGAAGACUAACUACUGCGAAAGCAUUUGCCAAGGAUGUUUUCAUUAAUCAAGAACGAAAGUUAGGGGAUCGAAGACGAUCAGAUACCGUCGUAGUCUUAACCAUAAACUAUGCCGACUAGGGAUCGGAUGAUGUUAAUUUUAUAAUGACUCAUUCGGCGCCUUACGGGAAAC
rnacentral:rRNA from 1 species